rnacentral:rRNA from 1 species
AUUGAACGCUGGCGGCAUGCCUUACACAUGCAAGUCGAACGGUAACAGGUUAAGCUGACGAGUGGCGAACGGGUGAGUAAUGUAUCGGAACGUGCCCAGUCGUGGGGGAUAACUACUCGAAAGAGUGGCUAAUACCGCAUACGACCUGAGGGUGAAAGCGGGGGACCGUAAGGCCUCGCGCGAUUGGAGCGGCCGAUAUCAGAUUAGCUAGUUGGUGGGGUAAAAGCCCACCAAGGCGACGAUCUGUAGCUGGUCUGAGAGGACGACCAGCCACACUGGGACUGAGACACGGCCCAGACUCCUACGGGAGGCAGCAGUGGGGAAUUUUGGACAAUGGACGCAAGUCUGAUCCAGCCAUGCCGCGUGCGGGAAGAAGGCCUUCGGGUUGUAAACCGCCUUUGUCAGGGAAGAAACGAGUUUCUCUAAUACAGAGACUUAAUGACGGUACCUGAAGAAUAAGCACCGGCUAACUACGUGCCAGCCGCCGCGGUAAUAC